rnacentral:rRNA from 1 species
UACGGAGGUGGCAAGCGUUGCUCGGAAUCACUGGGCAUAAAGGGCGCGUAGGCUGUUGGACAAGUCAGGUGUGAAAUCCCUCGGCUUAACCGAGGAACCGCACUUGAUACUAUCCAGCUGGAGUGCAGGAGGGGAGAGUGGAAUUCCCGGUGUAGCGGUGAAAUGCGUAGAUAUCGGGAAGAACGCCGGUGGCGAAAGCGGCUCUCUGGCCUGUAACUGACGCUGAGGCGCGAAAGCUAGGGGAGCAAACAGG